rnacentral:rRNA from 1 species
AAAACAAGCGGUUUAUUAAGUCUCUGGUGAAAUCCCGUAGCUUAACUAUGGGAAUUGCUGGAGAUACUAGUAGACUUGAGGUCGGGAGAGGUUAGAGGUACUCCCAGGGUAGGGGUGAAAUCCUGUAAUCCUGGGAGGACCACCUGUGGCGAAGGCGUCUAACUGGAACGAACCUGACGGUGAGGGACGAAAGCUAGGGGCGCGAACCGGAUUAGAUACCCGGGUAGUCCUAGCCGUAAACGAUGCGGACUUGGUGUUAGGAUGGCUUUGAGCCGCUCUAGUGCCGAAGGGAAGCUGUUAAGUCCGCCGCCUGGGAA